rnacentral:rRNA from 1 species
GAGUAAUGUCUGGGAAACUGCCUGAUGGAGGGGGAUAACUACUGGAAACGGUAGCUAAUACCGCAUAACGUCGCAAGACCAAAGAGGGGGACCUUCGGGCCUCUUGCCAUCAGAUGUGCCCAGAUGGGAUUAGCUAGUAGGUGGGGUAACGGCUCACCUAGGCGACGAUCCCUAGCUGGUCUGAGAGGAUGACCAGCCACACUGGAACUGAGACACGGUCCAGACUCCUACGGGAGGCAGCAGUGGGGAAUAUUGCACAAUGGGCGCAAGCCUGAUGCAGCCAUGCCGCGUGUAUGAAGAAGGCCUUCGGGUUGUAAAG